rnacentral:rRNA from 1 species
CCCGCUGAACUUAAGCAUAUCAAUAAGCGGAGGAAAAGAAACUAACAAGGAUUCCCCUAGUAACUGCGAGUGAAGCGGGAAGAGCUCAAAUUUAAAAUCUGGGAGGCUUGUCUCUCCGAAUUGUAGUUUAAAGAGGUGUUAUCUGGUCCUUGGCCGGUGCUCAAGUCCCUUGGAAUAGGGCGUCACAGAGGGUGAGAACCCCGUCUGGGCACUGGUCAAAGGCCUCUAUGAGGCACUCUCUACGAGUCGGGUUGUUUGGGAAUGCAGCUCAAAAUGGGUGGUAAAUUUCAUCUAAGGCUAAAUACUGGCAAGAGACCGAUAGCGAACAAGUACCGUGAGGGAAAGAUGAAAAGCACCUUGAAAAGGGAGUUAAAUAGUGCGUGAAAUUGUUAAAAGGGAAACGAUUGAGACCAGUAUUGCUGCUGGCUUUGAGCUGCGCAUUGGUGCAAGCCUGUGCGUAGUGUAGCAGCCAGUGGCGAGUCAGCGUCAGUUUGGGCUUCCGGAGAGAGGCUGGAGGAAGAUGGGAUUGGCUUUCGGGCUAAUCUUUUAUAGACUCUGGCUGGCACGGGAGCCCGGACUGAGGUGAGCGACCGUAGUACUCUUGGCUUGAGACCACUCCCCAAGGGUAAGGACUGCACGCAGACCUUGCCUGCAAGGAAGGGAGGUAGGGCUAUGCAUACGGUUCCAGGAUGCUGACGAAAUGGUCUUAAACGACCCGUCUUGAAACACGG